ACCCGGCUGGCGCAAUGGUAGCGCGUCAGACUUCUAAUUUCCCUUGGAAAUCGAUAUCUGAAGGUUGUGGGUUCGACCCCCACGUUGGGUU